UGCUUAGAACUCCAAUGUCAGUGUUUGCAGGCAUUCCUCCUGGCUGUCCACACUUCUGCCACAAUAGCUCGAGUUUUGCGUCCUCUCCUUUCAGGGUUUCUGCUGUGGAUGGAUGCCAUUGUUGAGACUCUGUUUGCCAUGGAGCAAAGGGACAUCCAUGUGCCACAAAAAAGCCAUCUCACCAUUUAUCUUACAGCUUUUAGUGAACCCUCUCCUCCCGACCACCAGAUCUUGCACUUUACCAGGGGCUCUAAGUGAAGCUGAGCAGGAUGAAAAUCGUUUCCACGGUGUUAAUCACAUUAAGAAUUUCAAGCCUGGAUGCCAGGAGGGUGAUGAAUAAGAGCUAAACCACCUUGAUGGAUCUGGAAGUUUCACUGGAAUUUCCCUUGCCUUGGAAAUGGAGUCCAGCCACGAUAAGAAUUGCCACAGCUUUCUUCACUGAUGGACCUUCAAAGAGAUUGUUCCUUCAAGGUGUGUCAGGCAGCAGAUUCUGAGGAGAAGGAGAUGCUGGGGCUGUGCUGAGGUCUGUGUGAUAACAGAGCAGUGUGGCAUUUCUGAGCACCCCUGUGGAAAAGAAGCCCCUACCUACAUUUUUAUGGUCUGUCCACAGAUGAAAAGGUGCCUUUACAAGAUGUCCUUCUUCGUACUCUAAACAUGAAGCCUGUAAUUAAAUAGCAAAAACGAAGUUACCAAGCAAUUUAGCUCACAGAAAAAGAGCCAUCAUGUUUGCCAGAUUUUUGUCAGUGAAGUCUGAGAUCAAAGGGAGAUUGGACAUCAGAAACUGGAAUAAAUCCCAUGGGUUGUGAUUUUUCAGGCUUCAGGUGGGUCCUACCUGAUGCAGGGACUCCUGCUUUGGAUCCAUGGAGCUCCAGCUGUGCCUCGUGGCUGUUUUUGAACACAAAACUCAGCAAUGGGACCACUCUGCCCAAGAGCUCACCCAAAGCAACACCAGAGAUUAUCUUUCAUGGGCAAACACAUCUUAAUCUCUUCAAAGAUUAAGGCAUUGGAUAUUCACAGGUGAAGGUGUCUUGAAAAUGCUGUCCAGGGAAGUCUUUGCAGUGCUCUGGUUUGUUUUAAGGCCUCUUUUGUCCUGUCUGAAUCAUGAAGGGACAAUUUACAGCUCAUGCAGUAAGGCAUGCAUGCUGUGUGUGCUGAAUGAAUUUUAUUCAUAUAAGGAACAGACUCAGAUUUCUUAAACUGAUAGUGUUUUCAGUAUUACCUUAAAAGUCCUCCAUACAAUGUUUGAAAAAAUGUUUGAAACCUAAAGUUUCUUAUAAAUACAUUUUUCAAGAUGUAGGAGGAAAUUUCUGUGUGUUUCUGCUCCUACAAAUGAUAUUGGCAUUAUUUUAUUGACAUUGAUUCCAGCUUUGUUGCAAUAACUUUCUUCUGAUGCUGUGGUCUUUGCUAUGACUUGGCUAGACUUGCCUAGAAAACCAAAAUUAGAAGAAGAGUUGCAGUUCAGAAAAUAUUUAUUGCUAUACUAAUUACAUGUAAAAAGUAAUUUAUACAAAUCAUAUAUUGCAAAAUUCCUCCAGGAAAAAUAAAAAAGCCCCACAUAGUAGUUGGAAUAAAACAGCUGGUUACCUUUCAGUUUUAUUGGCAUGAUCACUGUGAUUGCAUCAAGCCAACUCCUCAGCUAAUGAAAACUAGCAAAGCUCUAUUGCCUCCAGUACCCACUGCUUCAACCAGAAAUAAAUCUUUGGCUCCUUCAUUGUAUGUGCAAGGCAAGUAAAUUUAGGGAUUUUAUUAAUUUUUUUAAAGAUCAUUGUUAUUGAGGGCAGAAAAAGACAAAAACUACUGGCUGAAAUUUUUCCCAUGUAGGGAAGUAACACAGCCCAGGGCAGGAACAUCCCUGUGGUUUGGGGUGGAGGUUGAAAUAAAAAUGAGGGGUCUGGGAUGGAAACUGGGCAAUGAGCAGGAGAUGAUCCCACACCUUGUGCAAAGUGUCCUGCCUGUUAUUUAUUCAGUGCAAUGAUUAUUAUUUUAAGACUUUUAUUUUCUAAUUGCUCAUGGCUGU